rnacentral:rRNA from 1 species
GAUGAACGCUAGCGGCAGGCUUAAUACAUGCAAGUCGAGGGGCAGCAUGAUUGUAGCAAUACAAUUGAUGGCGACCGGCAAACGGGUGCGGAACACGUACACAACCUCCCAAUAAGUGGGGAAUAGCCCAGAGAAAUUUGGAUUAAUACCCCGUAACAUAACGAUGUGGCAUCACAUUGUUAUUAUAGAUUUUUCGCUUAUUGAUGGGUGUGCGGCUGAUUAGAUAGUUGGCGGGGUAACGGCCCACCAAGUCUACGAUCAGUAGCUGAUGUGAGAGAAUGCUCAGCCACACGGGCACUGGGACACGGGCCCGACUCCUACGGGAGGCAGCAGUAAGGAAUAUUGGACAAUGGACGCAAGUCUGAUCCAGCCAUGCCGCGUGAAGGAUUAAGGUCCUCUGGAUUGUAAACUUCUUUUAUAAGGGACGAAAAAAGGCUUUUCUAAGUCGUCUGACGGUACCUUAUGAAUAAGCACCGGCUAACUCCGUGCCAGCCGCCGCAGUAAGAC